rnacentral:lncRNA from 1 species
GGUUUAUUUUCAUAUCUUUAAAAAUUUUAUCUGCAAAUGAUUACCAAGAAUAAAUUCCUGCAGAAUGUAAAUUUAUGUUUGUCUGUAAAGAUUCUUUAAUCAGGGGAUUAAUAUCAUUACAGUUUAUUCUAUAAAAAUACAUGAGUGUUUGAGUUUUUGUAUAAGAGUCCAAAGCAAAUCUACCUAAUUCUGAUCUAGCACCUAGUGGCCGUCUUUUUCAAUCCUAAUACUGCUUUACAAAAUUUAGAAUGAACCUUCUCAAAAGGAUAUUUUUCUGCUAAUGCAAGAGUGUCAAAAAAAGUAUUAUUUACAGCAGCUCUAUUUGAUGCCCUAAAAGUUGACUGAAAAUUAUCCAUAAACCAAAUUUCAGAGUUGUAUGUCAAAAUAGGUCUUAUGAGAGUAUCAAAUAAUUUACGUGACAA